CGGACGGGUGAGUAACGCGUGAGGAACCUACCUUGGAGAGGGGAAUAACACUCCGAAAGGAGUGCUAAUACCGCAUGAUGCAGUUGGGUCGCAUGGCUCUGACUGCCAAAGAUUUAUCGCUCUGAGAUGGCCUCGCGUCUGAUUAGCUAGUAGGCGGAGUAACGGCCCACCUAGGCGACGAUCAGUAGCCGGACUGAGAGGUUGACCGGCCACAUUGGGACUGAGACACGGCCCAGACUCCUACGGGAGGCAGCAGUGGGGAAUAUUGGGCAAUGGGCGCAAGCCUGACCCAGCAACGCCGCGUGAAGGAAGAAGGCUUUCGGGUUGUAAACUUCUUUUGUCGGGGACGAAACAAAUGACGGUACCCGACGAAUAAGCCACGGCUAACUACGUGCCAGCAGCCGCGGUAAUACGUAGGUGGCAAGCGUUAUCCGGAUUUACUGGGUGUAAAGGGCGUGUAGGCGGGAUUGCAAGUCAGAUGUGAAAACUGGGGGCUCAACCUCCAGCCUGCAUUUGAAACUGUA
rnacentral:rRNA from 1 species